AAAAAAAAACUGGAAACUGUAAAACGAUAUGAAUAAUCUGGCUCCGAAACCGAACAUAUAAAGAAUUCUCCUAUCCAAAUUACCGGAACCAAAUUCGACUCGAAUCAAAAACCGAACGAAUAUCUGCUAAUUCGAAAUAAAAUUAUAUAUCUAAAAAUAUUAGUUAUAUUUAGUUAUACU
rnacentral:sRNA from 1 species